AGGCCCUAGGCCUACAUAUUUGAGAGAAAAAAUGUAGGCCUAAAUCGUUGACCGCGAAGACAACAGAAGGGUUAAAACGAAAAAGGCUUGAAAUAUUUCGCUUUAUGUGUAAUUAAUCUAUAUUAUAUAUUGUUUCACUUUUUGAAAUAGGACUACAAUAUGGGGAGGAAAACUUGUCAACAAUAUCUACUUUUUUGAGAUGCACCUAGGCCUAGCCCAUUUUAAUUUUACCCGCGUUCUGAUAAACUUCCAGGUGCAAUCACUUAGCCUACAAUUAACGUCACGAGAUUUCCACACAGAUCCCGCUCCCACACACAGACUUGGCUUCAUUACAGAAGCCUAGCCUAUGACAAAAACGCAGCCAAAAAGAAGCAUAGCAUAGAAUAUUAAAAACAACUUUUGUGGAGGGUGUGUGGUCUGGUAUCCGAAUGCCAUUAAAAUGGCAGAGGCAAAUAUCUCAGUGGAUGAAAACCAUUUCCAAUGUCCGAUUUAUUUGGAGCUACUGAAGGAUCCAGUACAGAGAGACGUUCAACCCGAGACCUGUUUUAGGUCGACAUCUCAUUUUGGCUGCCAUGGUUGCGAAGCUAAAGGCCCAGGGUCUUCAAAGCACUCAAUAAAAUGGCGGGUUUGCUGAAUCUGGCGACGUGGAGUGUACUGUUUGCAUAGGAAGGAAACGCAAAGCUGACCAAACGUGUCUUGAGUGCCUUGGUUCCUACUGUGCACCUCAUUUUUGCCGUCACGAGGAACUCUUUCUAGGAAAGAAGCACAAGAUGGUUGAGGCUGUUGCUGAGGUCCAGACGAGAGUGUGUUCACAACAUAGCAAACCAUUGGAAGUUUUUUGCCAGACUGAUGGGAAGUGUGUGUGUGUGUGCGUUGCAUGCAUCACAGAUGAGCACAAAGGCCACGAUGUAGUCUCACCUGCACGUGCUCAGGAACGUUUACAGAUGCUAAUGGAAUCAAGCUUAAAGAGUGAAAUCUCUAAGAGGGAAGCUGAACUAAACAAGCUGACAGAAAAUGUUGAGCCUCUAAAGUCCUCUGCACAGGCUGCAGUGGAGCACAGUGACCGUGUCUUCACAGAGCUGCAGGCCUUCAUUGAGCCGUGUAGAGGUGGCGGAGAUGAUCAAAACUCAGAAGGAGGAGGAGCUGAGUCGGGCAGAGCAGCUGCAGGAGGAGCUCAAUGUGCUGAAGAAGAGAGCAGCUGAUAUGGCGCAGCUGGCAAGCAAAGAGGAUUACAUACAUUUCCUACAGAGUCUCUUUCUUUUUCCCCAAAAGAUUUACCAGCUGUCACUGUCAGGGAAUGCUUCUCAUUUAAUGGUGUGCAAAGAUCUGUCUCAUCUAAAGGAUGUGGUGAACGAAACAUGCACAAAUCACAUUGGACUUAUAUGGA